AGAAUAUAGAUUAGCAACAAAAGGGAAAAAAAGAAAAAGAUAAAACGUGACGUGACGUGAUGUGGUACAUCUGUUUGUUCAAUUUCCCUUCCAACUUAGCGAAGAGAAAAUCAUACACAAAACAGGGACCAAUGAGAAAUGUAAUCAAGGGCCCGUCACCUCCGUGACUUUGACCUGAAAACACCAUCGACCAUCAGCCCUCUCUUCAACUUAUAUUUACAAAACAACCACAAAUUAUAUAUCCACUUGGAACCGUGAGGGCACGCUCGUCUUUUUGCAUUGCUCCUCCACUCGUACAGGUACAGGUACAGGUACAUCUCCAGUUCCAGUUGGAAGGAAUUAUACAAAACACAUUUUUGUUUGUUUGUUUUUUAUGUCAAGUGCCCAAAAGUUUGAUUAUAGAAUAGAAUGCCUCCCUCUCAUUUUUGCAACAACACGUGUAAUGUCACAGUAACUACAAAUGUCGUGAUUGCCCUCAAAUCAACACCUGCACAUGCCGCUGUUUGCUCCCAAACAUAAAACAUAUAUCAAAGAUUCAAACCCAUGAUUUAUUUUAAAAAAUAAAAAAUAAAAAAGUAAAACUUACAUGAUGGUUGCGAAUAUGGGCCUGGUGAUGGUGCAUCGGAAGGGUAUGUAUCGGUGGGGGGAUGACUUCGCGCAAAGACUACGUUUGGCAGCGGGCUUGAUGCAGGGAUUGUUUCCGUUACAGGUGGUGGUGGUGGUGGUGAUCGUGGCGGUGGCGGUGGCGGUGGCAGUGGUGGAGGAGGAAUAUGCGGUGAAGGAGCUGGCUGAGAGACGGGAGGAAAGAGAGGAGGAUGCUUCUUCUUGUGGUAACCAGGACGACAAGGUGGAUGCUUUGGAUGAGGUGAAGGGGCGGGGGUCGGUGGUAGAGCAGUGGGGGAAGGUGGUUUUGCAGGCGGCUAUGGUUUAUCAUGGUGGUGGUGGUGGUGGUGGUGGUGAUGGUGGUGGGGUUGAGGAGGUAGAUUCGGUAGGGGGGAAGGAGAAGGUACCGGAACAACAGCAGCACCACUAGAAGAAGAAGAAUUAAGGGAGAUAGAGGAAAGACUAAUUUGCUUGACCUUCCCGAAUUGAGUGUUAUUGAGUCCAAGAUUUUGAGUUGGUGAGCCCUUAAUGGUCUGAGCCAACUGUU
rnacentral:lncRNA from 1 species